rnacentral:rRNA from 1 species
UACGGGGGGUGCGAGCGUUGUCCGGAAUCACUGGGCGUAAAGGGCGCGUAGGUGGUUUUGUAAGUCUGUGGUGAAAGCCCGGGGCUCAACCCCGGGUCUGCCGUGGAUACUGUGAGACUUGAGUACUGUAGAGGCAGGUAGAAUAUCGGGUGUAGCGGUGGAAUGCGUAGGGAUCCGAUAGAAGACCGGUGGCGAAGGCGGCCUGCUGGGCAGUAACUGACACUGAGGCGCGACAGCGUGGGGAGCAAACAGG